UACGGGGGGGGGUAAGCGUUGUUCGGAAUUACUGGGCGUAAAGGGCUCGUAGGCGGCCAACUAAGUCGGACGUGAAAUCCCCUCAGCUUAACUGGGGAACUGCGUCCGAUACUGGAUGGCUUGGAUUUGGGAGAGGGAUGCGGAAUUCCAGGUGUAGCGGUGAAAUGCGUAGAUAUCUGGAGGAACACCGGUGGCGAAGGCGGCAUCCUGGACCAAUAUUGACGCUGAGGAGCGAAAGCCAGGGGAGCAAAACGGGG
rnacentral:rRNA from 1 species